UACGGGGGGGGCAAGCGUUGCUCGGAAUUACUGGGCGUAAAGAGCGCGCAGGCGGUCGUUCAAGUCGCGUGUGAAAGCCCCCGGCUCAACUGGGGAGGGUCACGCGAUACUGAUCGACUCGAAGGCAGGAGAGGGUAGUGGAAUUCCCGGUGUAGUGGUGAAAUGCGUAGAUAUCGGGAGGAACACCAGUGGCGAAGGCGGCUUACUGGUCCGGUUCUGACGCUGAGGCGCGAAAGCGUGGGGAGCAAACAGG
rnacentral:rRNA from 1 species